rnacentral:misc_RNA from 1 species
CAUUACUGUGAUUAUACCAACACCACACUGUGUGGGCGCACAAAACACCUAAACCUGGAGUAUACACACGUCAACAAAAGAUCUAAAAGAAUAAAACUUUCAACAACGGAUCUCUUGGUUCUCGCAUCGAUGAAGAGCGCAGCGAAAUGCGAUACCUAGUGUGAAUUGCAGCCAUCGUGAAUCAUCGAGUUCUUGAACGCACAUUGCGCCCGUCGGUAUUCCGGCGGGCAUGCCUGUCUGAGCGUCGUUUCCUUCUUGUGCACCGCGGGGUCUUUGCAGAUCCUCUCUGCGCAGAGCUGGCCGUGCCACUGGCCCGGCCGAAAAGAAACGUUGCGGACGAAGCGAACUACAUCGGGACGCUUUGGCCGCCGAGCGAAAAAAAAACCCAUUGAGCUCGACCUCAGAUCAGGUAGGAGUACCCGCUGAACUUAAGCAUAUCAAA